UCAACCCACCCACGCCGACAGCCUAGUCUCUCUCCAUCGCGAUUGCCAUUCCCCAUUCCCCUUCCUCUUCGUGGCCGAGCGUCUCUCUCCGCCUCAAAUCUCUCCAUCCACGCGACCACAAGCUCCCCAGCGAAGCUAGCAGGCGGAGCGCGCGGCGCGGCGGCACGGCGGCGUGGCGAUCCGGGCCAAUUUCCCUAAUCCCCUUCCUUGUCGCGGCGAAGCGUCUCGUCUCGUCUCUGCCUCGAAAUCUCUCCAUGGACGCGACCACCGGCUCCCCCACGAAUCUAGCAGGCGGUUCGCGUGGCAGUGCGGCGACGGGCCGCCGACGAUGCGGUCCAGCAGCCCGUAUCUCUCUCUUCGCCGCGGGUUCGACAUCACCGAUGACUGGCAGGGAGGAGGGAUCUGGGUCUCGAGUUUUGAGCCGAAAAUUAGCAGAAAAUACAUGUUGAAGACAAUAGGUACUUGUCUUCAAGCCCUGCAGAUGAUGAAGACUGAUUUGAGAGAAAUCAUGGCUACACAUUCUAGCUUCCUGGAAGAGAAAUUUUACAUGCCUCUCCUUGCUUUCAGGUUCCUGGCAAUGCAGUUUGCCACUAGUUUUUGUUCAUUUACUAGUUUAAGGUGCCUCACAAACUACUAAAGCCUGGUGCUUUUUGGUGCUGGAUUGUACUCAAGAACAUACAUCCUACAAUGCAGACCACUUUGUACCACUAUGUCCUUUUCUCUCAUAACUGUUGGAGACCAGUUUUAUACAUCUAUGACAAUAUCUGUGGGGUAGCUGAUACUGAGGCAUCAGCCGGCCUGAAUCUAGCUUCCUGGAUGUUCAUGUAAAACUACAGAUCUAGAGGUGCAUGAAUUUGGCUGCAACCUUUCAUACC